UUAAUUGAAGAGUUUGAUCAUGGCUCAGAUUGAACGCUGGCGGCAGGCCUAACACAUGCAAGUCGGGCGGUAACAGGGAGAAGCUUGCUUCUCCGCUGACGAGCGGCGGACGGGUGAGUAAUGUAUGGGGAUCUGCCUGAUGGCGGGGGAUAACUACUGGAAACGGUAGCUAAUACCGCAUAAUGUCUGCGGACCAAAGCGGGGGACCUUCGGGCCUCGCGCCAUCAGAUGAACCCAUAUGGGAUUAGCUAGUAGGU
rnacentral:rRNA from 1 species